CCCAGACUCCUACGGGAGGCAGCAGUGGGGAAUAUUGCACAAUGGGGGAAACCCUGAUGCAGCAACGCCGCGUGAGUGGAGAAGUCAUUCGUGAUGUAAAGCUCUCUCAGCAGGGAAGAAAAUGACGGUACCUGACUAAGAAGCCCCGGCUAACUACGUGCCAGCAGCCGCGGUAAUACGUAGGGGGCAAGCGUUAUCCGGAUUUACCGGGUGUAAAGGGAGCGUAGACGGCGAUGCAAGUCUGAAGUGAAAGGCGGGGGCCCAACCCCCGGACUGCUUUGGAAACUGUAUGGCUGGAGUGCAGGAGAGGUAAGUGGAAUUCCUAGUGUAGCGGUGAAAUGCGUAGAUAUUAGGAGGAACACCAGUGGCGAAGGCGGCUUACUGGACUGUAACUGACGUUGGGGCUCGAAAGCGUGGGGAGCAAACAGGAUUAGAUACCCGCGUAA
rnacentral:rRNA from 1 species